rnacentral:rRNA from 1 species
GCUCAGCCGUAAACCUUUAUUUACGAAUUCAUCGCCAGGGAACUACGAGCCAAGCUUAAAACCCAAAGGACUUGACGGUACCCCACAUCCACCUAGAGGAGCCUGUCCUAUAAUCGAUAACCCCCGUUUAACCUCACCACUUUUUGUUUAACAGCCUGUAUACCUCCGUCGUCAGCUUACCUCGUGAGCGCAAACUAGUGAGCCUAAUGCCUAUACGCCAAUACGUCAGGUCAAGGUGCAGCAUAUGAAGUGGAAAGAGAUGGGCUACACUAUCUAUACUAGAUAAUACGAAAGACUACAUAUGAAACCCUAGUCAGAAGGCGGAUUUAGAAGUAAAAGAAGAUCAAUGUGCUUCCUUUAACCCGGCACUGGGGUGUGUACACACCGCCCGUCACCCUCUUCAAGACCUUAAUAAAGUUCUUAACAAAACUAGACCCUAUAGAAGAGGCAAGUCGUAACAUGGUAAGUAUACCGGAAGGUGUGCUUGGAAAC